GUAAUGUUGCGAUUGUGAGGAUUCGUUCGUCUGCUCCCGUUCGUCUUCUUCAUGGACUCGUUCUUCUUCCUAGCGGGAUUUCAGGCAAGAUGACCGCUACCCUGGAUCUCAAUACUAUCAUUGCUAUGCUAGUUGCUUCGUUCUAUCACUUUGCUGCGCUACCUAUCAUCUGUUUAUCAAGCCAUCCCAGAUUGCCAUGAACUUCUAACCUUUGACACCUUUCCUAUGCAAACCGUUGCUUGGCUAUGUUACCGCUUUUGCUCAGCCCCUCUUAUAGCGUUGCUAGUUGCAGGUGAAGUUGAAGAUUGCUCCAUGGUAGACAUGAUUUUGGUUGGGAUAUCACAAUAUCUCUUAUAUUAUCAAUGCAUCUAUACACUUGGUAAAGGGUGGAAGGCUCGGCCUUAUGCCUGGUGUUUUGUUCCACUCUUGCCGCCCUAGUUUCCGUCAUACCGGUGUUAUGUUCCCGGAUUUUGCGUUCCUUACGCGGUCGGGUGAUUUAUGGGACCCCCUUGACAGUUCGCUUUGAAUAAAACUCCUCCAGCAAGGCCCAACCAUGGUUUUACCAUUUGCCUCACCACCACCUAUAUUUCCCUUGGGAGUAAUUAACCCAAGGGUCAUCUUUAUUACAGCCCCCCCGGGCCAGUGCUUGUCUAAGUGUUGGUCCGAACUAGAGCCCUUUGCAGCGCCCCCUCAGGGAAACUUGAGGUCUGGUUUUAGUUGUACGGAUUGCUCAUCCAGUGUUGCCCUGAGAACGAGAUAUGUGCAACUCCUAUCGGGGUUGUCGGCGCAUCGGGCGGUCUUGCUGGUCUUGUUUUACCAUUGUCGAAAUGUCUUGUAAACUGGGAUUCCGAGUCUGAUCGGGUCUUCCUGGGAGAAGGUCUAUUCCUUCGUUGAUCGCGAGAGCUUGUCAUGGGCUAAGUUGGGACACCCCUGCAGGGUAUAAUCUUUCGAAAGCCGUGCCUGCGGUUAUAGGCAGAUGGGAAUUUGUUAAUGUCCGGUUGUAGAUGACUUGACAGCAGAUCCGAAUUAAAACGCAUCAACCGUGUGUGUAGCCGUGAUGGUCUCUUCUCGGCGGAGUCCGGGAAGUGAACACGAUUUCUGGGUUAUGUUUGACAUAAGUAGGUGUUCAGGAUCACCUCUUGAUCAUUGCUAGCUUCACGACCGUUCCUUUGCUUCUCUUCUCGCUCUUAUUUGCGUAUGUUAGCCACCAUAUAUGCUUAGUCGUUGCUGCAACCUCACCACUUUACCCCUUCCUUUCCCUUUAAGCUUUGCUAGUCUUGAUACCCAUGGUAAUGGGAUUGCUGAGUCCUCGUGGCUCACAGAUUACUACAACAACAGUUGCAGGUACAAGUUAUGUGAUGAUCAUGACACGAGAGCAAUGCUUGCUUGCGUUGAGUUCUUCUUCUGCUUCUUCGAUCAGGGGAUAGGUUCCAGGUCGGCAGCCUGGGCUAGCAGGGUGGAGGUCGUUUGAGUUUCUGUUUGUGAUUCAUCCGUAGACGGAUGAUGCUAUUAUGUAUUGUGAUGUUGUAUUCGUGUGGCAUUGUAUGCCUUAUGUAUGUAUCCCCAUCUAUUAUGUAAUGUUGAUAUAAUGAUAUCCACCUUGCAAAAGCGUUUCAAUAUGCGGGUCUAUCCUUGGUGGGACCUUCGAGUUCCUUUUGGAUAGGGUCGCAUAUUGGGCGUGACAAGUUGGUAAUCAGAGCCUCGACCGACCCUAGGAGCCCCCUUGUUUGUUGGCCGUUGUUGAGUCUAGAAGAAAACUAUUUUGAGUCUUAGGAUUAUAUAUAUCGGAGAGUAGGAUUCUUUUUACUCCUCAGCCCCCUUCAUCGCUCUGGUGAGGUCUCCUGACGUAGAUGUUUUGUCUUUGCUCUCCUCAAAUUUCACUAAAAAUUUUUAGGAUCACGCGGGUAUCUUAGAAUCGUUCCGAUGGUUUUGUGACGAGAACAUUGUUCUUGGUGCCUCCUGUCUAUUUAUGUGGCAUUGACCCGGGGAGUCGAGCUCUGAGGUGUUGUCGUCACAAUUUUAUCGUUGCAAUUUUGGAAUACCUGAGAUUUGCCGAUAUCAAAAAUCUCUUUUAUGCAGUUGUUGGUGAGAUAACCCUGAUAACCCAGUACUGGGGCGAGCUCAGGAGUAUUGCCAUAACUCGUAUAACGGAUGCUUUUCGAAGGUUGAGGUACACGAUUUCCGAUGGUUUCUUGGUUAUGUGUGGACGGAUGGAUACAGCUUGGAUGUAGGUAUUGUUAGUUUGGGUGAGAUAUAUUGCUUCCCCUGUAUCCCCAACACCAGAUUGCAUAACCAGAAAGUUUCGGGAGUUUAUAGGUGGGAAUUCAAGUAGCUCCUAGAAUAUCUUUCCAACAGAUGCAUGAUAUGGGAUUGGGUAAAUCUCUAUCAUAUGUAUUUGUUCCGGCUUAUUUCUGCAAGCCAAAUCCUUUGUUUUUGUUUUAUUUGUAGUAUUCGAGUUGCUUCAAUGUCAAGUGUUGAAUCCAUACCUUUCCUAAAUGGUGUUCUCAUAUUUUUAUGAGAGUGCUAAUCCUUCUUGAUCAUCGAGGUUGUCAUGUCAACUCUUUUCCAACCGGUGUGUUUCUCUUCAAGUGGAUCCGAUCAUUUCAACAUCCGCAAGAUCAAUUCUAAGUUUUCCCAACGGUGUUUGUUUCAUCCGUUCCCAAGUUGUCUUUGUUUUCCCGCCCUCCCACCCUUUUUCUGCAAGGACUCAUAUAUGUUAAUCAAGUAUCCAUUUAUUCAUGUGAAGUCUCUUCACUCUUUUCAAUCAAUGUUCUGAUCCGGUGAUCCCUCGUGAAGAUGCUCACGAGCUUCAAGUUCAUCAAUCUUCAUCCUCGUAUUCUUUUCCGGUGGAUUUAAUUCAAGCUUUCAGUGUUGAUCAUAUUCCUUUCCUCGUGUCAAAUGCUUUCUCAUGCCGGUGCACCUCUCAAUCACUCACCUUUUGCUAUUCAUGUGUUCCAGAGUGUUGAAGAUAUCUCAGAAGAUUUGUGUUUUCAUUCUCAAUCCGUUCAAGCUAUUUGGAGAUUGUUAUCUCAUUCAAGCCAUUUAAUUCAACCGGUGCAACCUCUCUUUAAAAUUGUUCAAAGAUGUUUCUUUCGAGUGGGCCCUAACCCAUAAGUCUUUUCCCAGGAUCUUACCUGACUCUUCUAAUUAUCCCGGAGCCAUUCUUAAAUUCUUUUCAAGUGUGACGUAAGAAUGAAUUAUCAUCAGUCAUAUGUCUUUCUCCAAGAUAUUUCAAAUUCUCUUCAUCGUUGGCUCAACCCCCUUCGCUUUUCAUUCUCCCGGAGUAUCUCAACAAUUCAUGGUGGUGUUUCUCCUCAUCUUUCUCAACAUUUGUAGACCGAAGAAGGAUUUCUCUUAAAUCUUGGUCCGUUCUCUUGAAGAUUCAUAGUUCUAGCUUAUGUCAUUCUCUCAUAAUUUUUUUCGAUUGUGAGAAUUCUUUUCAUCCAUCUGGAGCAAUUCAAGAGUCUUUUCAGAUUGAUUCUCCGUAGCCCAUCAUCUCAGAAUUAUUCAUUCAAGCUUUCAGCUCUCGUUCUCCAAAUCUAUCCGGUGCAUCAUUCAAGUAUCCUCUAAUCAGUUCAUGUUCUCUUCGUUGUCAUGUAUCUAAAUCCCCUCAAGUCUAUUCAUUCAUUUUCCAAUUCUUCCCAGUGAAUUGUGCCUUUGCUAAUCUCAUUUUCAAUUCUUACGGUGGUUCGUUCAAGAUUUCACUUCCUUUGUUAUCAUAUCAAUUCAUUCGUUGUUUCCAAUCCCACCGGUGGUUCCAUCAAGACCUUCUCGAGUUUGCGCUAUAUCCCUCUUAAUCCUUUCUACGAGAAUAAGUAGUAUGCCAAAUCCGUUGCUUGUCAUCAAUUAAAUUUGAAGAAGGAUAAGCAUACAAUAAAUCUUAUUCUUAUUUCCUCGAGGUGAUUCAAUUCUUUUCUUCUGAAGAUUGUUCAUGAUGAAGUAAUUCUCGGUUCUAGUGUUCAUAUUUUCUUUUACGGAGUUCCAUGUUUUCUCAGGUAUAUCAUCGCGAAGCUCCAUCUAAAUCAUUGCAAGGCUUCACCUUGUGUUUUCAACUUCUCUUUCUUUCUACCAUCCUUUCAUUAUCGGAGUUCUUCAUGGAGGCUCUACAUGAUGGUUUGUCAAGGAAUCUUUUCAUUCUUCAAUUGUUCUUCAAGAUUUCUCUUGAAGUUAUGAUCCGUCAAGCUAUACUCAAAAAUAAACAUGGUUCUCAACACAUGUCUUGUUUUGAGGAGUUCAAGUAUUCUUCAUCUUGCAUUGUGAAGUGCAAUUCGUUCUACCUUAUCAUCUUGAGGUGGUGUUAUGUCAGUCUUGACAAUUUGGGUUCGUGUUUCAUGAUUCACAUGUUGUCAAGAAUGAGGUAUUUUAAAUCCAUCAAUCCCUCCAUUGGAGUUAUCUUGUGUCAUAUUCCACCUAAAGCCUUCCAUUGGGAAUGUUGCUAUUUGUGGUGCUUAUCAUUGAUCCAAGCUUUCUCCAUAUCCUUCUCGGUGAAAGAGGUUUUUCAUCUCUUCGUUGAUCUCAAACAAGCAAUUGUUUUUCGUUAGUGGCAGAAUGUCAUCUCAUAGUCUUGCGAUGUUUCCAUAAGCCCACUACAAGCUUAUUCUUUUCGUUGUUGGUUUUCCAACAACCCCGUUGUAACCAUCUUGGAAGGGUGCUCAGUUGUGGCAGAAGUUGGCAUUUUCUUCUCCAUUCUGUUAUUCCAAUGAUCUAGCUUCUAUUCUUUCAUUCCGAAGGCAUUGUGAUGUUGUUCUCUUCACUCAUCAUCUUGUUUUGUCAAGAUCGUGUUCUUUUCCUUGCUUAUCCAUUUAACCAGAGUGUUGUGUCUAUCAUUCCUCAUUUAACCGGAGUCUCAUCCAAGUGCUUUCAUUUUGCCAAGUUCAUGUUAUAUUCCUUCCAUGUUCAACCGGAGUGCUGCCCGAAUUCUUCCUCUCUCAUCUUGUUGUAACCGGAGUGGUUUUGAACCCUAUCUUGUCCAUUAAACUCUUGAUUCAUGUCUUUGCAACCUUCAAGUUAUCGUAAUGUUCCUUGUUCCUCUUUUCUAACAGAUUGUUUGCAAUCUCGUUCAUCUCUGUUGUACUAUUUCUUUUAUAUUGCUCAACCUCUCAAGGUUCAUGGUUUCACUCAUUUGUCGAAGAAGCAACUUAGUUUUACCGCUUAUCUUCCUCUUCCUUUUCCGUCCGGUGCCAUCCUAGAUCUCGGGACGAGAUCCUCUCAUAGUGGUGUAGUGUUGUAACGCCCCGGAUACAACUUUCCAUAUUCGUAACUCCGACUCUUGCCUUUUCCGGAGAUGUGAUUUAUUAUUUCCUCCGUGGUUGGGUUUUUGUCUGUUGUUUUGCAUUUUGUUCUUGUUAUGCAUCUCAUCUCAUAGCAUCAUGCGCAUUGCAUCGGCAUCGUUUUCAUAAAACUUGCAUCCGUUUGGGUUUCCCCGAUUCUCUCCGUUGUCCGUUCUGAGCCCGACCACACUCGCACGCGCCCGCGGCACCUCCGAAUAUUAUUUUAUAAGUGGCAUAAAAAUGUUCUCGGAAUGGGUUGCAACUUGUCGUGCGGUCUUAUUAUAGUGUAGACAGGCCGCCUGCCAAGUUUCGUCGCGUUUGGAGUUCGUUUGACUGCCCAACCGUUAGAUAUGUAACCGCGAUAUAGUCGGUUUAUUCGUCGGACGUUUCGGUCUCCGAAACUGCCACAGGGCCGCACCUCUUCUCUCUCCUCUCAGCCCAAGGCCUUCUAACCACAGCCCACCUGCAGCCACCUAGUCCCCCUCUCUGUCCGGAGCGCACGAUCGCGAUCCGAGGGUCCGAAAAGCCCCCAAAACCCCCAACCCUAGCCUCUUUUGCUAUAUAAAGACCCCCUCUCCAUUUUUGGACAACCUACCCCUUCCCUAACCCCAGCCGCAGCAAUCCCCCAUCCUCCUCGGGAUCUCCGCCGCCUCCCACCUCCAUUUCCGCGCCACCCGCUCCAGCUCCGCCACUUGUCGCCGCCGCUGCCACGCGCCACGGCGAACCCCAGUGCGCCACCUGUCCCCGAGUGCCGCCUCCAGCCAACCCCCAUGUGCCACGUCGCCCUGGCCUCCUUCCACCUCCCCGCGGCCCUCCCGGCCCGCACCAGGCCCACCCUGGGCCGAAUCGGGCCCGAGCCGCCGCCGCCGCUCCCGCAGGAGUCUGCUCGUGCGCCGUCCUCGUGCGCUCCCGAUCUGGAUCGAGGGGAGGAGCCCCUCGACCCCGAUUUCUCUCCCCUCACCGGACCCAGCCUACCGCCGGCGAGCCCCGUCGCCGGAGCCCCACCGGACCCCGCCUCCUCCGUCGCCCAGAUCGUACCGCACAUCGCCCUAUUCCUCCUUCUUCCCUCCUCUCCUUCCUCACAGCUCUCUCUCUCCCUCCUUGCCGUGAACAGGAGCGCCGCUGUCGCCAGGAACCGUCUUGACCCGACGAGCCGCUGCCGGAUCCGUCCUCUGCUCCCUCCCCCGCGUCCAUUCCCGACCUCCACGCCCGUCGCCGUCGCCGAGAGAACCUCCUGCUGCCGGUCUUCUUCUGCGUUGGAGGGUGAACGAGGCAGCGCUCGCUGCCGUUGACCGCGCCGCCGCCGUGCUAGUCAGCUGCGUGGGCUGCCAGCCGCACCAAGCCCCAGCCCACCAGAUCUGCCGGCCUGCCAGGCCUCUCCUCCAGCCGGGCCUCAGCCCAUGGGUGAGCUGCCCCAGCGCCUCCUUUUUUUCCUUCUGCUGGGCCUGUUCCAGUGGUUUCGGCCCGCGUAGGUUUUUUUUAGCAUCUGUGAAUUUGUCUAAUUAUCCAGCGAUUUACAGUUUUACAGAAAACCCCCUAGACUUCAUGCAUAUAAUAUCUCACAAACCGUGCAUCGGAUUAAAAUGUUUUAUAUAUGUAAAAUGCUCAGAAAAUUGUGUAGAUUAAUAAUAUGUCAUUUUCAUCCCAUGUUAAAAUGUUUAACAUGCUGUUUGUGUUUCUUUUGCAUAAUGCCAUGCUAAAAUGCUUUAAUUCAUAACUAAAUAACCGUAGCUCCAAAUUUAAUAAACUUUAUAUGUAAAUGGGAUGUAAAAAUGCCUAGUUUAACAUGGUCCACUUUAUUUUCCUGUUUAACAAACACAAAAUUGUGUUUAGGGCAGAACAGUACCGAAUCUAAAAUAUGCAUAUGGGGAUUUUCCGGAAUUGUUGUUUGUUGUUUCCGGCCUCAUUUAAACUUGCCUAGAUAGGUAGUUUUCAUAUGUUUCACCUCUUGCCAUGUUUAACAAUAUUUAAUAUUAUUGGGUACAUAACCGAGAUCAAACUAAAUAUGUCCAUGUGGUGUUUUGUCAAUAUGCAACUCGUUGCAUAUUGAGCUCCACUUAAUUUGUAGUAUUGUGUGUUGCAGUUUGCCAUGCCAUGCCUCUUUAAACCGGACAUGCAUCAUACUUGAUUGUGCAUCUUGCCAUGACUAUGCGUGUGUGUUUACCAUGUUGUUUGUUUCUUUCCGGUGUUGCUUCUUAGUUCCGGUAAUGUUGCGAUUGUGAGGAUUCGUUCGUCUGCUCCCGUUCGUCUUCUUCAUGGACUCGUUCUUCUUCCUAGCGGGAUUUCAGGCAAGAUGACCGCUACCCUGGAUCUCAAUACUAUCAUUGCUAUGCUUGUUGCUUCGUUCUAUCACUUUGCUGUGCUACCUAUCAUCUGUUUAUCGAGCCAUCCCAGAUUGCCAUGAACCUCUAACCUUUGACACCUUUCCUAUGCAAACCGUUGCUUGGCAAUGUUACCGCUUUUGCUCAGCCCCUCUUAUAGCGUUGCUAGUUGCAGGUGAAGUUGAAGAUUGCUCCAUGGUAGACAGGAUUUUGGUUGGGAUAUCACAAUAUCUCUUAUAUUAUCAAUGCAUCUAUACACUUGGUAAAGGGUGGAAGGCUCGGCCUUAUGCCUGGUGUUUUGUUCCACUCUUGCUGCCCUAGUUUCCGUCAUACCGGUGUUAUGUUCCCGGAUUUUGCGUUCCUUACGCGGUCGGGUGAUUUAUGGGACCCCCUUGACAGUUCGCUUUGAAUAAAACUCCUCCAGCAAGGCCCAACCUUGGUUUUACCAUUUGCCUCACCACCACCUAUAUUUCCCUUGGGAGUAAUUAACCCAAGGGUCAUCUUUAUUACAGCCCCCCCGGGCCAGUGCUUGUCUAAGUGUUGGUCCGAACUAGAGCCCUUUGCAGCGCCCCCUCAGGGAAACUUGAGGUCUGGUUUUAGUUGUACGGAUUGCUCAUCCGGUGUUGCCCUGAGAACGAGAUAUGUGCAGCUCCUAUCGAGAUUGUCGCUGCAUCGGGCGGUCUUGCUGGUCUUGUUUUACCAUUGUCAAAAUGUCUUGUAAACCGGGAUUCCGAGUCUGAUCGGGUCUUCCUGGGAGAAGGUCUAUUCCUUCGUUGAUCGCGAGAGCUUGUCAUGGGCUAAGUUGGGACACCCCUGCAGGGUAUAAUCUUUCGAAAGUCGUGCCUGUGGUUAUAGGCAGAUGAGAAUUUGUUAAUGUCCGGUUGUAGAUGACUUGACACCAGAUCCGAAUUAAAACGCAUCAACCGUGUGUGUAGCCGUGAUGGUCUCUUCUCGGCGGAGUCCGGGAAGUGAACACGGUUUCUCGGUUAUGUUUGACGUAAGUAGGUGUUCAGGAUCACCUCUUGAUCAUUGCUAGCUUCAUGACCGUUCCUUUGCUUCUCUUCUCGCUCUUAUUUGCGUAUGUUAGCCACCAUAUAUGCUUAGUCGCUGCUGCAACCUCACCACUUUACCCCUUCCUUUCCCUUUAAGCUUUGCUAGUCUUGAUACCCAUGGUAAUGGGAUUGCUGAGUCCUCGUGGCUCACAGAUUACUACAACAAUAGUUGCAGGUACAAGUUAUGCGAUGAUCAUGACGCGAGAGCGAUGCUUGCUUGCGUUGAGUUCUUCUUCUACUUCUUCGAUCAGGGGAUAGGUUCCAGGUCGGCAGCUUGGGCUAGCAGGGUGGAGGUCGUUUGAGUUUCUGUUUGUGAUUCAUCCGUAGAUGGAUGAUGCUAUUAUGUAUUGUGAUGCUAUUAUGUAUUGUGAUGUUGUAUUCGUGUGGCAUUGUAUGCCUUAUGUAUGUAUCCCCAUCUAUUAUGUAAUGUUGAUGUAAUGAUAUCCACCUUGCAAAAGCGUUUCAAUAUGCGGGUCUGUCCUUGGUGGGACCUUCGAGUUCCUUUUGGAUAGGGUCGCAUAUUGGGCGUGACACAGGGAACCAGGCGAUGAUGUGGUCAUGAGGCCAGCACAGAUAACAAGGUUGGACUGGAGGAUACGGGGGCAGGACGACGUACCGCCAACUUUGAGCAGCUACAGCGAUGCGGAUCCAUCGCGGUGGUGGUGGAGGUAGCCGUCGCGGCUAGCGAGCUCGGGGUUCUCUCGCCGGAGGGAUGCUAUACGAGUUGAGAUGCUUGGUCGGGUAGGCGAGAUUGACUCAAACCAUCGCACGAGAUUUGGUGGGGUGGUUGGGAUGGGAUGCGAGAUUUACCCAGAUUCUAUUAAUUCACGGGGAUUAGAUCUAACGAAAUUAAUUCACGGGAUCUGGUGGAGAAUCGGUACAAAAAGACAGCCGUAGGAUUAAGGAAGCAUCUACGUCACAGGAGAGGUCUGGCGAAAGCUUCCUAUCAGACGUGUCAUAGAAAGUGUUUGCCUAGAUUUAAUAGUGACGUUAUUGCAUGGGCAAAUUUGACCCCCAAACACAUGCAUGUAGAUUAUAUAGCACACAAUUAAUUCAAUGCAAACCAAAAUAAACCGCAAUUAAACACAAGCCAAGAUAAAAUUUACCAAUUCAUACACAACCAUACAUAAUGAAUCAA
rnacentral:lncRNA from 1 species